rnacentral:rRNA from 1 species
CAUAGGUUAUGGAAGGGAAACGCUGUGAACUGAAACAUCUAAGUAGCAGCAGGAAGAGAAAGAAAAAUCGAUUUUCUGAGUAGCGGCGAGCGAAAAGGAAAUAGGCCAAACCGAGAGACCUAGUCUUUCGGGGUUGCGGACUGCACACCGUAUUGACAAUUGAUAGCUGAACUGUUUUGGGAAAGCAGACCAGAGAGCGUGAAAGUCGUGUAAGCGAAAUCGAGAGUCAGCGAGCAGGAUCCAGAGUACCACGGGACACGAGAAACCCUGUGGGAAGCCGGGGGGACCACCCCCCAAGCCUAAAUACUAACCGGUGACCGAUAGUGGAGUAGUACUGUGAAGGAAAGGUGAAAAGGACCCCGGGAGGGGAGUGAAAGAGAACCUGAAACCUUGUGCUUACAAACAGUGGGAGGCGUAUAGUUCCGUAAGGAAUUGUUGCUGACUGCGUACUUUUUGUAGAACGGUCCGGCGAGUUACUAAUAUUAGCGAGGUUAAAUACUAAGAAGGUAUGGAGCCGAAGGGAAACCAAGUCUGAAUAGGGCGUGAAGUUAGUAUUAGUAGACCCGAAACCGGGUGACCUAUCCAUGUCCAGGUUGAAGUUACCGUAAAAGGUAAUGGAGGACCGAACGCACAUCUGUUGAAAAAGGUGGCGAUGAGGUGUGGAUAGCGGAGAAAUUCCAAUCGAACUCGGAGAUAGCUGGUUCUCCUCGAAAUAGCUUUAGGGCUAGCCUCGAGAGGAGUCUAACGGAGGUAAAGCACUGAACUGACGCGGGGCCCAAAAAGGUUACCAACUCAUAUCAAACUAAGAAUGCCGUCGAGAUACCCUCGGGAGUCAGACUACGGGAGAUAAGUUUCGUUGUCAAAAGGGAAAGAGCCCAGACCGACAGCUAAGGUCCCAAAGUGUGUGUUAAGUGGGAAAGGAUGUGGGAUUUCAAAGACAACUAGGAUGUUGGCUUAGAAGCAGCCAUACAUUUAAAGAGUGCGUAAUAGCUCACUAGUCGAGAGAACCUGCGCCGAAAAUAAUCGGGGCUAAAACACACCACCGAAGCUACGGAUUUCCUACUAAGUAGGAAGUGGUAGAGGAGCAUACUGCAAGGACGAAGCCAAAUCGAGAGAGAUGGUGGACGAAGCAGUAGAGAGAAUGCCGGAAUGAGUAGCGAGAUAUAUGUGAGAACCAUAUAGGCCGAAUAUCUAAGGUUUCCUGGGUGAAGCUAAUCUACCCAGGGUAAGUCGGGACCUAAGGCGAGGACGAGAGUCGUAGUCGAUGGACAACUGGUAGAGAUUCCAGUACUAUGUAUGAUCAGAACUGUGGGGACGCAGGAGGAUAGAUGGACCGCGGAAAGGGAAGACGCGGCCAAGCACAAAGGCGAGGUCAGUAGGCAAAUCCGCUGAUUGAUGUUGAAGUGUGACGGGGACUGAAAGAAAGUAAGGAAGUCAUUGAAUCCACACUGCCGAGAAAAGCCGCUAUUGUGUCAUACAUACCCGUACCGCAAACCGACACAGGUAGAUGAGGAGAAAAUCCACAGGCCGACGGGAGAAGUGUUGUUAAGGAACUCGGCAAAAUGACCCCGUAACUUAGGGAGAAGGGGAGCCACGAGAAGUGGUCACAGAGAAGAGGCUCAAGCAACUGUUUAGCAAAAACACAGGUCUCUGCGAAACCGAAAGGUGAAGUAUAGGGGCUGACACCUGCCCGGUGCUGGAAGGUUAAAAGGAGAGGUUCGGAGAAAUCCAAAGCUUUGAAUUCAAGCCCCAGUAAACGGCGGCCGUAACUAUAACGGUCCUAAGGUAGCGAAAUUCCUUGUCAGGUAAGUUCUGACCCGCACGAAAGGUGUAAUGAUUUGAGCACUGUCUCGACAACACGCCCGGUGAAAUUGAAGAACCGGUGAAGAUACCGGUUACCCGCAACAGGACGGAAAGACCCCAUGGAGCUUUACUGCAGCCUGAUACUGGGAUUCGAUGAUGUAUGUACAGGAUAGGAGGGAGACU